AUUGAACGCUGGCGGCAGGCCUAACACAUGCAAGUCGAGCGGAUGAAGGGAGCUUGCUCCUGGAUUCAGCGGCGGACGGGUGAGUAAUGCCUAGGAAUCUGCCUGGUAGUGGGGGAUAACGUCCGGAAACGGGCGCUAAUACUGCAUACGUCCUGAGGGAGAAAGUGGGGGAUCUUCGGACCUCACGCUAUCAGAUGAGCCUAGGUCGGAGUAGCUAGUUGGUGGGGUAAAGGCCUACCAAGGCGACGAUCCGUAACUGGUCUGAGAGGAUGAUCAGUCACACUGGAACGGAGACACGGUCCAGACUCCUACGGGAGGCAGCAGAGGGGAAUAUUGGACAAUGGGCGAGAGCCUGAUCCAGCCAUGCCGCGUGUGUGAAGAAGGUCUUCGGAUUGGAAAGCACUUUAAGUUGGGAGGAAGGGCAGUAAGUUAAGACCUUGCUGUUGUGACGGUACCAGCAGAAUAAGCACCGGCUAACUUCGUG
rnacentral:rRNA from 1 species